GCCGAAGUGGCGAAAUUGGUAGACGCGCUACGUUCAGGUCGUAGUCUUUCAUCAGGUGCAGGUUCGACUCCUGUCUUCGGUA
rnacentral:tRNA from 1 species